CCGAGUAGCUGGGAUUACAGGCAUGUGCCACCAUGCCCAGCUAAUUUUUGCAUUUUUGGUAGAGAUGGGGUUUCACUAUGUUGCUCAGGGAGGUCUCGAAACUCCUGACCUCAGGUGAUCCGCCCACCUCGGCCUCCCAAAGUGUUGAGAUUACAGGCAUGAGCCACUGCGCCCGGCUUGAGACCUUGAGGGGCUUUUUAACCAAGAGAUGGUGUAGGGACAGAAGCCAGCAAGAAGAACAUGGUGGACUCUCUGUGAGGCCCCAAACCCCAAAUCAUGAGCCUCCGCCCCCUGAAAGUAUUCCAGGAUCUCUGAGGGAGGUUUUGGGAGGGGGCCAAGGUCCUGCAAUUGGGUGGGUGGGGCUCCAAGCCAUUGUUCUUUGCACAUUCAUGCCAAUGUGACCUAAUUGGCUAAGCACAGGCUGGAGAAGCUAGAUAAACCUAUUUAAAUUCAGAGCCAAAAGACACUCAAGGAUGUUUUCUGAGGGGGUGUGAGGGUUGGAAAAUCAUCCUAUAUUUGAUUUAUCUCCCACCUCAUGUCCUGAGUCAAUUCCUUAGUCUUAGAUGAGGGAGACGACUUGGGAGUCAUCCUUGUUUUUGAUGAGCUAUAUAACCCUAUGGCCAGCAGAGGGAAGUACUGCAUUUCAGAGCGACAAUUUGAGAUCUAUGAAAGAAUUUCAAUCGAGAAUAAGAGGCCGGGCGCGGUGGCUCACGCCUGUAAUCCCAGCUCUCAGGGAGGCUAAGAGGCGGGAGGAUAGCUUGAGCCCAGGAGUUCGAGACCUGCCUGGGCAAUAUAGCGAGACCCCGUUCUCCAGAAAAAGGAAAAAAAAAAACAAAAGACAAAAAAAAAAUAAGCGUAACUUCCCUCAAAGCAACAACCCCCCCCCCCCUUUUCAUAUUCUUGCCUGGAAGAAAGGCCUU
rnacentral:lncRNA from 1 species